AGGAGAGUGAGGAGCGCCUUAACCCAGAGGAGUUGGAGGUGCCCUUUAUUUGCUGCCAUCUUUCAGACAGAGGGGUGACUGAAAUCGGCCUGAAGGUGCCCGCGCUUCGUGAGGCGUUUGCUACUCUGCUUGCCAACAUCCACAACCAGAACUUCUUGUUCGUGGUUGGAAAGAAGAUGGUCAUGCGACUGGCAGCAGCUAACAACCAGGUGACUUCAGAAUGAUGAAAGACUGUAUCAUUUUUGUGAUGGAAAUAAUUUCAGUUUCUCAGCCAUAGCCAAAGUUAGUUACAGAGAUUUUUUCGUUUGCUUUAACAGG